UACCCCAAGUUGGCAGCUACAAAUGUCACCUCUGUCCCUGCCAUGUUCUCCCAGGUUUCCCCAGCUGGGAGCUGCAAGGAAUUCAGGCCAGGGAAUGGACAGCAGGGAACAGCUGUACAUGCAAAGGCAGAAAGAGAAGUUUCCCAGGGAGAAGAACAGGAACUCACAGCCACCAAGGCCUGACAGUCCCCUGCAGCCAGAGCUCAGCACACAGCCAGAGAGGCAAUUCCAGCAUCUAAAAGGAAAAAAAAGAACAAAAAAAGUGAUUUAUUUUGUUUUAAAGUUACUUUAAGUUGUUCCAAGCAAAGCAAGCCUUGCUCUGGUUUCAGUUGGGUGAACAGGGAGCGCUGGGCACAGGGCACGUCAUUAAUGCCCAGGGGAUGGGGCUUGGUGGGGGAGGGAAGAGCAGCUGAUGGAGUUGCCCAGUCCAAUUCCUGCCCAAGGCCUGAUGGCCCAGGACAAACCCUCUGGCAGGCAGUGGGUUUGUUCCCUCUCAUGGUCAGUGCCCAGUGUGUCCCUGUGGGCAGUGCCAGGCUGGGGACAGGCACACGCAGCUGGCAGCACUCUCUGCUCCAAAGACACUUCUGGGCUCCUUGGCAAACUGCCUCUGACACUUGGUUUUCUCCAGCAGAAAUUAAGGAAUUGCUCAUGGCAGUUUGGAGAUGAAGUUAUCCCAAAGGGAAGGAAAGAACAAAUAUUCCUGUCAGAGCCCUUGGGAUCUGCUGGGCUGAAUUGGGAAGGGCCCCUUAUCUGCAGAGCAAAUACAGGACAGCCUCAAACACAAAGCCCAGCCUGUCCAGUGGGGUGUGAAAGCACCACUGGGACAAACCUCCACUCUCCUGAUUCUUUCCAGGGGCUGCUCCGACCCAGCUCUGAAGCUGCCAAGCCCAAACUGUCCCCAGCGCUCUGGAACAACAGGAUCUUCCCAGGGAUGAUGCACUGGAAGCACAGCCCUCAUUCUCACCCUCCACACGCUCCCAGGCUCACCCCAAAUUCAGGACAAGGGGCCAAAGGCCACUCGGGCCGGGGCUCUCUCUGUCUCUGUGGGCUCAGGGACUGCAGCCACCAGGGCCCUCCAGCACGGACAGCCUGGACCCAGAGCAGAUCCCUGGGCAUUGGCAGCGUCCUGGGCACACCUGGAGACAGAAACCAUCAGCCUCUGGGACAGCACUUCAUUGCCAGCACACACAGCCUGCCACAUUUAGGGGGGCAGCUCUCGGAGCACAAAGCCCAGUCUGACCCAGUUCUCCUGGGCACCAACACGGACUCCACAGACCCACAGGAAUGAGAAUGUUCUGCUGCUUUGACAAACUUCAGCCCAGCUUUGCAAACCUCAGUCCCUGCAGCUCCUGCUCUCCAGAGCCCCGUUCAGGGCUGGCUCCAGUUCCCUGGAGAACCUGCCCCAGCCCCACUCUGGGCCAGCCUGAGCAGAAGCCACUGGGCUGCACAAGGAAGAACCCUCCCCUGGCUGCUGCAGCUGGAGGGAGAUCCAGCUCCCAAUGGAACCCUGGCAACAGCCUCCCAGAGGGUCUCUCCCCAGCCCUUGGCAGUGGCUCAGAAUGGCAGCAGCUCCAGUGCCAGCUGGGUCCCUGCACGAGUCCUUGUCCCAGCCCUGCCCCACGGACACACACGGGAGACACCCACGGGCACACAGGCCUUGCUGGCACAAUUCCUCACCCACAGCUGAGGGAAAGCCACACAACAGUUCUCUUAGAAAGAUCCUGGACAGGAACUCAGACAACAGAACCCAAACACUGCCAAGCAAUAACAGAAGGUUUGCCAGGAAGAACAGGAGUUCCUUGUUUUCCUUAACACCCUGGGACUGGAGGACCCAAUCUUUGCAACCAAGGGACACCAGAGAUGUGAUUAAUACUUAAACCUCUCCCCCCUGGUUCUGUCUCAGAGAACUGGGCCAGCCCUGAGCUACUCCCAGGUGCCUGCAGUGCUUUGGGGAGGGGCAGGACAAUGUCCCACUUCUGCUUGGAAACAUUCCAGAUGAGGAAAAGCCACUUCCCUUCUCUCUCUCUGACCCAGAACCAGAACAGUCCUGUAGGACAACACGGACUAUGCACGGAAGGCCCGAGUCAGUGGGGGAAAAAGCACCCUAAACAAAGCAAACCACCCCAAAUUUCCAGAUAAAAACACGCUGCUUCCUUAACAGGAGCACACCAAACUCAUUGAAGCCAGAGAGGAAAUCACAAACAAAUAAAAGACCCAAAAGGAUGCUUUGCACUGAUACACUCUCUGGUUGAUCAUCCCAAAGGAGAUUCUCCACAGAUCAGAAGCAAUUACCAAUUACUUGUCCUCUGUGGAAAAUUAACAACUUGAGGGGCUGGACAUGUCCAGUGAGGGUUCAGGGUCUGGUGGGUCCUUUAUGGCUGAUCCUGACCGGCCCAGGCCAAACCCAACCACCCCCAUGGCUGCUCCAUCCCAGACCUGGGGCAACAUUCAGACAGUUUGGAAACACUGCCCUUCCCUGCUACUCCGUCCUCCCUUACACAUCCAGUGCCCAGGGAGCAAAUGCCAACAGCAGGA